AGGUGUAGCCUGGCACUGGAGAAGCUAGCAAGGGCCUUACAUGUCCCCCAACAUCUUAAACGGCACUGGACCUGCCCCUCUAAGCCAAAGCUAGCCCCCCAUACAUUCUACAACCUGAAAAGAUUCCAACUUGACCUCGAACAGGCAGCCUAGCUUCUGGGACUCUAACGGGACCUGGAGAUGCCUCCUUCAGCCUUAGGCCAAGAGAAUGCCGGCUCAUUCCUAAGAUAAGGAUCCUGAUGCCAUCUGCCAGAUCCCGGGGCGUUGAGAAGCAAGCCAGGGAUGAGCCAGAGUUCUGCUGAGAGCAGAGACUCCACCCUGGGGAUGAACCACUGGAAACAGCUGACAGCAGGGAGGAUUCCCUUGUCCUGCUUCACGGAGGUCAACCAGGCAGAGGGUUCCUCCUUCCGAUACUUCCCCCGGAAGCCUCUGCAAAGCCCAGUUUCCAGAACACCGGCACUGUCCCACGUAAGGCUCACCAUGCAGAGUGGAUGGAUACAGAGAGCUUCCUUCCGUCUUAUAGAUUGUGCACCUGUUUAGCGCGGCCCCAAGACUAGGGCUGUGCAUGUCACACACACGAAGACACUCGUGGACUGGGCUUUCUGAGCAGGUAGGUAGUGGGCGCCUUGUCUCUCAGGAAAAGCAAGCCAGGUUCUGCAACCAUUUGCCUAAGGCUUACAAAGAAGACUGGAACGCCGGCAGUUCUCCAAGGUCUCCUCCAGCCAUACGUUCUCGUGAUUUGGUAGUGCUCAUUCCCAUUAGCCCAGACACAGACAUUCUCCGGUAGCCGUGUAGGGGGAAAAAUUCACGGACUCUGAGGAGUUUCUCCCAGGCCCUCCCUCCCUAGCCGACCUCCCUUCUUCACCUCCUCCUCUUCCUGGGAGGCUGAGAAAGUCGCAGCUUCAGCUGCAGCACUGUCCCAGCACCAAAGUCAUCAAAGCCACUGAGACAGUGGCCACCCUUUUGAAGAAGGAUAUUGGCACGAAUGCAGGAGUUUGAGCCUCAAGAGCCGUGAGGACAAGGGCAGGGCAAGAGCUGUGAGCGUUAAAGCAGAGGAAAGGGGUUGCACUCUUUAAGGAUAGAUAAAUCGUGAUUUCCUGGGAUGCAUCUCAGUGCACGGAGAGAGAUGUGGGUCACUUUUCGAUAGGAAGGGACCUGAGGUCUUGACUAAAUAGUUGCCUUGACCACGGGAGCUUCCAGGCUUCACAAGAAUGUAGCAGGAGGGGUGUGGUCGAAAGAACAGAAAGUGAGGAACUCUCUGUCCCUAAGCCUCCAAGCCUGUGUACCCAGACUUCUUGUCUGAGACUUCAGCGUCUUCUUUCUUCCAUCACCUAAACAGCUGCCACCUUUCCUCACCCCCAAAACCCUGCAGAGCUUUGAACUCUGAGAGCCCCUUUCAUCCGAGCCUAUUCAAAGUGCUUUUACUGAGACCAAUUAAUGCCCAGCUGUGACCCAAGUCACACGCAGGGGUACUGAAGCUUUCAGGAGCACCAAAGGACAUCCUGGCAUCCCACUGAGUCAGGGACUAUGUGGCUAGGCCACCAGAGCUGGCAGCACCCAGCUGGAGCAGUUGCAAAGGUUCAGAGACUGCCCCAACCCCACCCCCCAUCCCCCAAGCCACUGCAGAGCCUGGCAACAGGCUCACAUGGGCAGGUAGGGCAUGGAGCCCAGGCAGGAGCUGGGGCAUAUAUGCCUGAGACACAGCUGCUUGCAGAUCUGACUCUGUGUUCUACCCGAGUACCCAACCACUGGGUUUCCUAAGGCUGGACCAAUCCAGUCUGAUGCAUUCCAGGGGCAUAAGACAGGCUGUGAGAUCCUUGGGCGCUAAUCUGUACCUUUCUAUAUAAGACAAUAUAAAUGCAGUAAAUAAAAAGAGU
ensembl:processed_transcript 4933439K11Rik RIKEN cDNA 4933439K11 gene